AAACAUGUCAAAACAUUAGCGGUUGUGUCUGUGUGUGUGUUUUAGAAAACUAGACCAAAAACGACGUCGAAACCCAAGUACGGUGGAAUCGAGAAGCGGCGACGGCGGUAAGCUAUAAGGGAAGAAAAGCAAAACGAAGUCGUAAAAGAAGCUAUUAAAGCCCAAGGGAAAGUCUUGCAAAUGCAAAGGAAUUUUUCAAAUACUCUUUCCUUUCUCAAAUCGUAACCCUCGCAGUCGUACGCUUCAUUAACAUGAAGGUUUCCCAUUCCUUAAUUAAUUGAUUCCUCAGUUUAACUUAUUAUGUUUCUUAUUUCUUACUUCAUAUUUGUUUUGGCUUGUUUGGUUUGAUCAGUCUGGAAUGGAAAGUAGCGGCAACUGUGUAAGUGUAACUCAACUCAUGGUCAGAAUUUCUUCAUUUUGUUGCUCAAUUUUUGUGUCUUAAGGAGGCUUCAAGCUGCAUUGAUUAGGUUUUUGUUUGCGCUCUCUUUGGCACUUUUUUUUGGGAAGGGGGGGGGGGGGGGAGUGGAAUAAUAGUAAUAAAUAAAUAAAUCCAGCAAUAAAAAUUGUUUUUCAUCGAUCUUAUUUAGAAAAAUGUUUGCUUGCUUUGUUUUGGAAAUUGGAAAUGGAAAUUAUAAUGUGUACUGAUUAUUGAAGUUUGACUGACGAACAACUUCUAUUGUUCCUCUACCAUCUAGAGCUAUUGCCACAAAAGAUGAUGGCCACGCUAUUUUGUAUUUUAUUAAGUUUUUGUUGGUUACUCCAUGUAUAAGUGAGGAGCAAAAGAGGAAUUGCCAGGCAGGCUGUUAUGGCUUGGAGGUUAUUCAAGCCCUCUCUCUCUCUCUCUCUCUCUCUCUGUGUUCAUGCACCCAUGCACUUGUGCAUGUAUAUCUGACUGAUAUGAGUAGCUGCAGAAUCUGUCUAAAGAGGUUGUUAUCGGUGAUGCCUCACAUGCUUUUGUUCAUCUUCAUACUAUGCUCGUAACAGAGAAGGUGAGGAAAUUGUGGUGGUUUAAAGUUUUGGAUUCUUGUGCUGGGUUGAUUGUACUUCCUAAUUCACGGUAAAAUUAUUAAUUUGAGAUUCAUUGAUUGCGAGUAGUGGAUUUCAGCAUCUCCAAAUUCAACCUUUGUUCCCUAUCGCAUAUGGGAAGAUGAGGGUAAAUAUUUUUAAUACUGGGAGAAAAUUUCAAUUGCACGUCCUACUCUGAAGUCUGAAGGGUGAAGAUAGUAUAAAUGAUAAGCCAAGUUCAGAGCAUAGGGUUAAUUGUGGUUUUUGUUUUCAACAGCAAUUACCGAUCUCAGGUCCGUCUAACAUUCCCUUGCUCACUGCUUCUAUGUUUCGGAUUUUAAGGCAGUUAUUUAUAAAUUAAAGUUUAUUUUAUAAUUUCUCUAUGAAGAUGAUUUCUCAUUGACCUUUUAAAGUUUAUUUUAUAAUUUCCCUAUAAAGAUGAUUUCUUAUUGGCCUCACCUUACUGUUUGGGAAUUAUAUAUCCCAUUGCCAUGAACGAUGGUGUUUCGAUUUUUGAAUCUUUCUAUUAAUGUUUCGGCCUCUCAAAGUAUUCGAAGACGGCUAAACAGGUCAUAAGUGGUGACUGUAUCUUAGUUACUUAGGCAUCUAAAUGAUGCCUCCCCUUUCUUUUUUAUGUUUGAUAUUUCUACAUCACUGACAUUAUUUGUACCCUUUCUAUGUUUUUGUGCAUGGGUGUCUUGGUGUUAUGCCCAUGUCAUCUGCAUGAUGAGCUUGUUUGAGUUUUCUUGCAUUUUCCCGUGUUUAAGUACAUAUAUUUGGUGGAGUUAGUCUUACUACCUGGUAGACCUUGUCUGCAUCUAGCUUACCAUAAAUGUCUGCUUUCAAGUUAGGAAAUAGAAGCAAAACUCAAGGAGAUAGGUGCUUUUUGAUUUUAUCAUUGGUGAUAGCUAGAUGGGAGGCACUUGGUUUAUGAUAGUUUUCAUGCUUAGUGCUGCCAUACGGGGACUAAAAACAUGCAUGGGAAGGCAGGCCUUCUCUGUUUUAGAAGACUAUGUUCAAUAGAUCGUUGCUGCCUCUUGAGCGGCCGUCUUUUUUUCAUACUUCUUUUUUAUUUUCCCCUCGGUUCUAUCAAUAGUAAUUUUAUUUCUCAUGAAUAAAAUGCUGUUUAGAACACCACUCUAGCACUUUGUAUCAUAAUGCAGCCAGUUCUACUGAAUGUUUAUAGAGGUGUUAUGUAAUCAAUUAUCAGCUAUUUAGUUCUUGUGAUUUGUUUUGCCGAAGAUGUCGAUGGAGUCCCUCAGCCCUUUGCCAUAAUAAACCAUCUCAUACACCGUGGGGGUACAACCUCCUGAGCAG
rnacentral:lncRNA from 1 species